UGCCGUUUGGCGGUGGAAAAAAUGACGAAGGGAAUUAGAGGAGGAAGACAAACCAGAGUCCCAUGGCUGUGCACCAGUACCACGGACCCUAUCUUAACCUCGCUGAAAGCCCUAAGAAGAUGGCGGCGUCAACGAUAUCCUCCGCCACCGCCGCAGCCGCCACCUACUCAUCGUCCCUCUCGCCCUCCUCUUCUCGCUCCUCCAAGAGCAAGCCCCUCAAGAUCCUCGCCAUGGCCCCCAGAAAUAAGGUGAAUAGGUACGACGAGAAUUGGAAGAAGCAGUGGUACGGCGCCGGGCUCUUCGUGGAGGGCAGCGAGGAGGUGAGCGUGGACGUGGUCAAGAAGCUUGAGAAGCGCAAAGUUCUGAGUGGCGUCGAGAAGGCCGGCCUCCUCUCCAAGGCCGAGCAACUCGGCUUCACCCUCUCCUCCAUCGAGAAGCUUGGGUUCUUCUCUAAGGCAGAGGAGCUCGGCCUCCUCAGCCUCCUCGAGCGGACCGCCGGCGCCUCCCCCUCCGCCCUCGCAUCGGUGUCGCUGCCGCUCUUGCUCGCUGCCAUCGCCGCCGUUGUCCUCAUCCCCGACGACUCCGCCGCUCUCGUGGUCGCGCAGGCCGCCGUAGCCGCCGCCCUCGGGAUCGGCGCCGCCGGGCUCUUCCUGGGGUCGGUCGUGUUGGGCGGGCUGCAAGAGUCUGACUGAACGGCGACGAAGCCGGGUCUGAGUCUAGUGCUCCGCGGUGCACGUCCGGAGUGGUCGAACUUCCUCCUCGAGCAUAGCAACAUACAGGUUGACCAAUUUUCGUCACCAAUGCCAAUUCCAUCAAGUUGGACUUUGGAUGGCAAUAGAUUGGCUAGAUCAAUGCCUUGAAACUUACAAGAGAUCUGAGUGCAUGAGCUACGAAUCUCAACCUACUCAAAGAGACUGGGGAGCAAGCCUGAAUUAAGAUGGCGGUCUACCAGCAAUGAGUAGCUUGAUACUAUAACUCCAAAAUAGCCACUGUUAUCCUCAUCCCCGAUGACUUCACUGUGUUUGUGGGUAUGCAGGCUACUAUCACCGUUGCCCUCAAGAUCAGCACCAUCAGGUUCAUGCGGUCAGCUGUGUUGGCAAAAGUCUACAAGAGUUUGACCGAACAGCGACCGAGUCGGGUCUGAGUCUAGUGCUCCACGAUGCACAUACAAAGUGAUGUGGAUCACGGGAGCUUUAAUGAAGAGAAGGAAGCAUUAGAUGAAUUUCUGAGAUACCUGGUUGUCAUAGAGUGAACACAGUAAACAGGGAGAUGCUGUGGAAACCAAAAUCAGGGAAGAUGAAAGUGUUCGGUGGAUGGGUGCUUUUCCUUCAAAACUAUUCCGGCCUCUGGGAUGAUAUGAUCCUAAGUCAAGCUUCAAGAAUUACUUAUUUUGCACUUCUGUAUCAACUGGAUCUAUUUUCCCUGGCUGCCAGAUUAUUUUCCUUUAUCUUAAGACAUUGCAUGGUGUGAUGUCACUUCAUAGCUUUCUGGGUUUCAUAUAAUUUGAUAGCACUGCAAUACCUCACC